CCGUGUUCCACAUCCGUGUUCUCUCCCCCAGGACCUCUGCUCAGCCACCAGGCGAGGGGCGUGGAUUCUUUAUUGACCAGAUUCUGUGUGUCCUCUGUCGGUAAAGCCGGGGCCAGGGUCCUCGGCCACGUUUCCGGGGUGAGACAGAGCUGUCCCCUGAGGGGAGGGCUCUCGGGACUGUGGCCCCCCCCCCCCCAGGAGCAGAGAUUCUGGAUUAGUCCGGGAUAGUGUGUCCCCGGAGGCCCUUCUCCUGGGCCUACGUCCAGUUUUGUGUUUCCUCCAAGUCUGGCCCUGGACAGGCCCUGGACAGGCUCUGGGGCAGAGCGAUGAGCAAGACAGACCCAGAUCUACCCCCGGUGGAGCCAUAGACAGGUGGGGGACGGCUGUCCGUCACAUCGUCAGUCAGGCACUGUCGAGUGUCACCCAGGUGCCAGGUGCAGUGUCGCACACCUGUGAUCCCCGGGACUUGGGAGGAGUCAAGUUCAAGGCCAGCCACAGCAGUUUAGUGGGACCCUGUCUCAAAAAAUAAAAAGGGCUGAGGAUGUGGCUCAGCUGUAAAGCACCCCUGGUCCUGGGUCCAAUCCCCAGAACAAAAGAAAGGAGUGGGGUGGGGGUGGGGAGAAAGUCUCAGUGUGUCACUUGUAGGGCAGCCCAAAUACAUAGUGCAUCAUAAGCGUUGCUGAGUUGCUGAGCAGGGCAUAGAGAAACGCAUGGGGUUUUAAGUAGGGAUGACAGGUAACCUGGUGUAGAUGGAUGACUUAGUGAUAUUAGAACCCCAGAAAUUUGAAGGGUGAGCGCAGUGACAUGGAAGGGGAGGGAAAGCAAGACAGCAUGUGCAAAGGCCCUGGGGAAGGAUGGCUCAGGGCAUGUGCAAAGGCCCUGGGGAAGGAUGGCUCAGGGCAUGUGCAAAGGCCCUGGGGAAGGAUGGCUCAGGGCAUGUGCAAAGGCCCUGGGGAAGGAUGGCUCAGGGCCUGCUUGAGGAACCAAGGAGGCAGGUGUGGCUGGAGCAGAGUAAGAAUGGGGGGAGCAGCUCAAGAGGGGGAAGGGCAAGUGGAGCUGGAGGACCCUGGAGUUUAUUCUAGAGCCAUGAGCAGCUAUGGAAGGUGUGAGCAGGAGGCCAGCAUGGCUGCCUCCCUGGAGCACCAGGCCAGACCCCCUCCCAGCUCUCUUCCUCGGGUCCUUCCUGCCCACUGUGGUCUUUCCAAAAUACCUCUUACCCCCUCUCCUCAGCCAGGGGCUUCAUGUGGACCCACACUCUAGUGACUUGGGAGGCCGAGGC
rnacentral:lncRNA from 1 species